CAUAUUUUUCUGUUUCUGAAACUUGAAAAAUAACCAUCUGGAAAGAAUCAUAUUAUAGACAAGGCAUGUCAUGACAUUUACAGCAAAUAUUUUUGCUGUGAGGAUCAGUAUUCUCUCAUUGCCCCAUCAACUGCCAUAUAAUCAGAUACCCAUAAAGUAUUCAAUAAAUAGAGGGUUCCUGCAUUAAAUCAAUAUUGCAGGAAUAAUAUAUUUUAAGGGUUCACAUUUUCCCUUGUUUAUCCUUCUUUUUAAACACACAUUUUUGCGUCACAAACCUCCUGAACGUUUGUCUUUGUUUCUUUGCCUCUCAGCCACCCAGUCUCAAGCAAAUGACAUUAAAGUGCACCAUUGCAGGGAGAUCUCUGGCAUAAAUAAAUGUAUCAGGAGGUCAAGAGGUCAAGAGCAUAAAUGAGGCAAAGAUUUCAAAGAAAUCACCGACCAAAUGAUUUAUAAAUCAUGGAAAAUACUGCUCUGGCCAUAAAAGAGAAAUUAAAUUUAUACAUCAUGAGCUUCAGGAUGCUUUGGGUUCUGGUGGGUAACUGGGUUAGAAAUGGAAGAGCUUAUGUCAUCCUGUUGUUGGUAUGGAGCCUUGUUACAGCAGCAUUUACCCCAGGACUCUAAAUCAGAAGGACUGAGAUUAAACUCCCCCGCCCUUCUCUUGUGUCUCUAGAAACACUUGCUUUUACCUCUGACCCAGAAUGUCCACCAUCCCAGGAGUGGGGUAAGAAUCAAUUCACUGUUGAGCAGAAUGAUAAUACCUAUAAGUGAAUACAAGCCUCCCAUCUGUUGGUGAAAGGCUGAGAGUCCUACCUUUGUCUAUAGGAAAGCAGCAAAGAAUUACAGCAUCUGCCCUGAUUGGUCAGGGAAGCUGUGGAACUGAGGACUUCUGGAACAUAACAGCCAGACCAUGUAUAGGAGAGGGUAUAAUGAGCCAGUCCCUGUAAAAGAAUAAUAACACUUUAUGCUAUAAUAAUCUGUAAAGAGAAUCUGUCCAGAACUUUUACAGCUUCAAAAUAAUUCUUGCUACUUUUGGCUGUAUUUCCUUCAAAGAUAGGAUGUGUACUCACUCAUCUCUCUUCCUACGCUCCCCCCUCACUGCUCCAAUUUCUUUUUCUUCCGUAUUUGUGAAAAUAUCAGAAUGGAAACUACUUGAAAGUAUUUGUUUUAGCUCUAUAUGAAAUGUAACACCAUGAUCGCUAACAUAAAACUGAAGUAAUUUCAUGGGGAACUUGCCGAAAACACACUCAAUUGGGAAUGUCACUUCCGAGUUAAACAGAUGUGAAGCAGCAAAUGACACCAUGAACAGCCAUCAGACUUUGGAAUUGAUUGUUGUUCUUUAUGACCUAACCAAUGGAGACUUAAACUUGGGACUAGUUUUAAAGUUUUCCUGGAAACAAAUUUCACUAAUCCCACUCAAUGGAAACAAUAUGCUGGAUCCUAGCUUGAAAUACAGAUCUGCGUGAUGACAGAGAAAAACAAUACACUGUGUCAAGAUUCCUUUGCUCUCAUAAUCCAAGGUAGGAUUUUAGUGGAGCUCUAAGUUUCUUUCCUUCUCUGUUCCUUCCUUCCUUCCUCCCUGCCUUCCCUCUCUCCCCCUCUCUCUUCUUCUCUCUUUGCUCCUCUCUUUCUCUUUCUUUUUCUUCUCUUCUUUCCUUUCAGGUAUUUGGAGGAACAGAAUCUGUUUGGGGUUGGUAAAUUUUUGGCAAUGUUUUCAGUUUUUAAAUAUCCAAGACACUUUUGACUCGAACAUUUAUUAAGACACAUUUUCCCUUCUAAUCUCCUUUAUGUAGUUUUUCUUAACCUAGGUUGUAUGUUAAAGGAAAUUUAAUCCACAGCUUGCCAAUGCAUUUAUGUACAAGUAAUCAAAAUUAGAUUUUGAGCCACCUUGCUUAAUGAUAAAUCUUUCCAAUCCCCCUUUUCUUGAUAAUUGGCAAGUUGAGCCUGAUGUGUGGGAUCACAAAUCUAUAUUGUGUUUGGAAUUCAGUCUCCUAGGAGUUGGUUGGCACUGAUUUCUUUCUUUACUCAUUUUAGAAGGAUACUUUAUCUUCCUUAUCUUAGAAUCACUGUAAAUACUUCUCUGGAAGAUCUAUCCUUAGAAUUAUUGUUUUUUUCCUCAACGAGAUUUAGUAUAUCAAGUUGAAUAAGGUAAAAAAAAUAACAUAAGCUCUAUUUACCUUUUUAUGCCUUAGCUUUUUCACAUUAAGAAGAAACAAAUUGAAAAAUUGAGAUUUUGCAAAGAUCUGAACAUGAUACUUCACAUUUUUUUUCAAUGCUUUCCCCCAAUAUUCUCAUAGCAGUUGGCUUGAAUUAUAUCUUCAUUACUCAAUAAAGAACAAAAAAUGGUAUAAAUUCACCACUUAGCAAAAAUGUAUAAAGUAUAUAGUUGGAGAAAACCUAUUAAAUUUAGGAUUAGGCUAAUGAUUAGUUUAUUUGCAUUUUUCAGUGACUCUUUAGGAAUUUUGAAUGGUUUUCUGUUGAGCCAAGUUUGGGUGCCCUCUUAAUCUCUUUGUUACACCGUGGCUUGGUGUUCUCACACAUAGCCACAUAUGUCUGAGCUGGGCGUUCAUGUAGUGGGCUCUGUUAAGCCAAGAAAGAGAAGGGUGAAUCUCUGCUGCCACUGAAAUAAAUUGGUGAUUGUUACAUCUAAAAAUCUUUUUUUCAUAGAAUGAGCAACAUGUAUUGCCAUAUUUGCUUUUUCUGGUCCAUUGACUUUUGAUCACAUCUCAUGGCUUUUUAAGCACGUGAUGUUGGGUGUUUGUGCUGAUGAACAAAGCUGUAAUCUUGAAUAUGCAAAUUGAGGGCCUAGAUAACCCUGUAAACAGGCUGUCUGAUGAGGUCUGUCUGUUACUACAUGGCUGCUAUACAUUGUAUGACAGUGGGCGACAGGCAAGGUGACCGUAUGGUAGGAGUCUAAGUAGAGAGUAAGACAGCAAUUCAGAAACACUGGUCUGCAUAGGCAAAAACAUCCCCCCAACAACAACAAAAAAACAAAAACCCAACCAAAGACCCCAAAAUAAAAAACAUAAAAACUUACAGGCAUGGGAUUUCUUUAAUAAAUAAUAAUGAAUAAAUUAUCUGAUUUAAGUGAUAAUAGAUAAAAUUAUUUAGGGCCUGUUUUCGAGUAGGGAAAUUCUUUGUAUUUCGCGCAUGGACAGAGCACCAUGAUGGAAGAGUGCUUGACAUCUUUCCUUUGUUGAGUGAGUACUUGGUUCCUCCACUUGGCUCUGUCCGAAUGAGAAUCUUACUUAAUUGGUAGUGAAGGGGACUAGGAGCAUGAUCUCUGCAGUCAGAGUUCAGAUUCUGACGAAGCUACAGACUAAUGAUGAUCUUGGGCAAGCUUCCUGCCCUCUCCUUGCCUCCGUUUUCUUCUCUGUAAAAUGGAGAAGAUGGUAUUACCACCAUGUAGAGUCACUGUGUGUUUCAUGUGCAUGAAAAGCAGAAGAGUCUCUGCACAGGGUUAAUAAACCUUAGCUUCUGCUCCUCUUGUUGUUAUUCUUAGUGGUGGCUGAUAUUAUCAUUACUGCUGUUGAGCACACACCUUCUGUAUGGACAGUUGAAGGCAAACUGGGCUGGCCUAUACUCAACAUGACUCUAACUGGGCUGUAUGUGAGUUGUUGAAAGUGCAAAAAUGAACCAAGAGGCCCUGAGGCCUCCAAAGGCAACCCCAAAAAGUGUUUGGUUAUGUAUGGGGUAGUACUUGUGUAAGCAUGAUUAUUUUAUGGGUAAGAAAAAUGGAAAUGUGGAGUAAAAAUCUGAUAGCAAGGGAAGAACACUGGACUGUGAGUUGGAAAAUGUGCCAC
rnacentral:lncRNA from 1 species